GGCACAAAACCUCACACAUUAGCUUUGGUAUUCUAAUUUUGGGGGUUUUAAGAGAGAGAGAGAAAAAAAUCAAAUCGACUUUGAAACUCUGGAGGAAUUAUUUGAAAUGACUUGAUUGGGCUAAGCAAGAAGAGGAACUCGUACUACUGAAACGACUUCUGAAGUUCUGCAGUAGGGUAAGGAAACAAUCUGCUUCCGUCCACCUUGAGAUGUCUUGCAACAUUUACGAAGACCCAGAUCAGACCAUGAAAGUGAGGUACAGCAAAGAAGUGAGAGGAAAAGGAUGGAGGAAAGUGGAGAAAGAGGAGAAGGUGGAAAAAGAGGCGAAAGUGGAAAAAGUGGUCGACAUCUACGAGAGUGCCGAGACGGUGGCCUGCCAUCGAGCUAAUCCUUCCAGGAAGGCCCAAGGAGUUCGGACUCAAAAACAUCCACCAACCCCCCGGAGAAACUGGUACAAGGUUGCUACAGUAACUUUGGGUUUACUCUGCCUCCUGUUGUUGGCGGGGAUAAGUGUGCUACUCUCUCUAUUAGGUUUGAAACAUAAAGAACAUUCCUUGGGUCAGAAGCAGGCACAAGAAAAUCAGAACCAAAGUAUAAAAGAAUGGCAGGAGCUUCGUGAGUCACAUUUCUACUAUGCAUCCACUGAGAAGAAAAACUGGACAGAAAGCAGGAAAGACUGCAAGAGCAGAGGAGGAGAUCUGGUGAUUUUAAAUAACAUAGAGAAACAGGAGAUAAUUAGAAGAAUGAAGAUUCAUGGAGAUUCCUGGAUCGGUCUUAAAACUUCAAACGAGUGGACUGCGAAAUGGAAAUGGGUAGAUGGAUCUGACCUAUUAUCUAGUUCCUGGAAGGAAGGAGUAAACGUCAAAACGGAGUCAGGCCUCAAAGCAUUUACUGAUCAACAGGGACUUUGGAUGUACAACAAAACAGGAUUAAAAUACUGGAUCUGUGAGAAGAGAAAUGUCCAGUAUCUUUUUGAUCUUAAACCUGGAAAGAACAUCACUAAAUAUUAAGUACUAUAUACAAAUAAUAGUUAUAAUUCUAAUUAAGAAAAGCUAUCCAAAACAAGAUAAAAACAGACCUGAUGAAGAAUAUAAAACACUUAAAUACAAAUCCCAGUCUGCACUGGAACAGCUAGCUUCAAGCUUUGGAAACUCAUUUCUCUGCUGCACUGACGCUACACGCAUCAACCCAUUAUAUGUCACUAUAGCAUUGUCACAUGGUGAAAUCUGGAGUCAGAGCAAAGCAGAGACUAUUUAUACAGUAUUUUGUACUGCUCAAAUAUGCAAAGAUUAUUUAACUUUAGCUUUAAGUAAAAGUUUUAUUUGUGGUGGCUUAAUCUGCAUUUUGAAAAGAUGUUAGUUAUUAUUAGUGCUUUAAAAAAAUAAACAGAAUAUGAGCAUUAUUUUGUGUUUUAUUUAAAUAUUAAUAAUGAAAAAUAAAUAAAUCAGACAUUAUUCUCAAACAAGAAAUACUCAUCUUUAUGCUUUUUACUCCAAGAACUGCUUUUUAUUUAUACUUAAGUUAUAUUUUGAUGUAAUGCCAAUUUUACUUAGAUACAGUUUUGUCUACACUACAUAAGCCUUAUAUUACUUGUGUAAUGUUUCAAGUUUAGUUAAAUAUUUUUUUUAAUUUGUUUUGAGCAGCAGUAAUCAGUAGUGCUGUUCCAGAAACAGAACUGCUGCUAUCUUAUAUUAAUCAUAUUUGUUUCUUUCGUGUUGGAACAAACAUAAUUAAGAUAAAGGAAUAAAAACAUGGUAAUACAUUCAACCUUUUUUGGCCAUUUGCUAAUAAAUUACUGGUGUUCACAUUAUAUUCAUUGUGACUCUAAAUCAAAUCAAUUGAACUUUGAGCAAUUGUAAAUAAUGACGGGUCAAGAAAACAAAUGGAAAUUCCACGGAAAAACAAUUACUUUUAUUUAAUUUACCAGAAAAACCACUUACCACAACAUAAGUCAGAAAAUUGCUGCUAGCUCAUGUAUCAAAAUUUAUUUGAACAUUUACAUUUGAGUAGCUUUUUUAUGUGAAGAACACUUUCUUAGGUACAAACAGGAACAGAAAGAUAAACACAUAUAUAUGGAAUUUUUUUCUAUCUAAAGAUUAAAUGUUUGGUAUUUGUGUGCUUAUCUUCCUGCCAGAACAUCCUGUGCACUUCCUACUGAAAUCUGAUUGGUUUCAAAAAGAGAACAAAAAUUUGUCUGCUUGGCAUGAGAACCUAAAUGCUGCUUUCAGUUGCUUCUUUCUUGAGAAAUCUUCCAACAUGUAUGAGAACAUAGAUUUUACAACUACAAGAGGCAGUGAAUUAUCUCAGGACAGUGGGGAGGAAACAGUUCAGACUCCAGAUUCCUCUACACACCUUGAUGUUGGUCUUUCACUACAAAAUGAAGGGAAGUAUAAAACAACAAAGACUAUGUCAUAAAACAGGUAAAUUUUAACAAAAUCGCAUGGAUAAAGUAUUCUGAUUUUCACUGUGAUAAGAGCAGUUUGCUAUAUAAAUGAAAAAUAUCUAUUUUUUAAAGAAUAUAAACAAUGCAAUCAAAUAUAUAAUGACCCUUCUCUCUGCCUUUGGGGUCUUUGUGUUUUUCUUUCCUGUUUUUAUUUAUCACUGUUUUGCAGAACAGAAGGAAAUAUUUCCUUCUAUUAAUGAAAUAUUAACAACACUAAGCUGAUGCAUAUCCAUUUGUAUGUAUCCAAGAUACAUACAAAAUUAUGUAUGUAUCAUAAUUUUGUAUGUAUUAUGAUAAUAUUCUAAUUUUAAAUAUCAUGUUUUGUUAACAGUAAAUGGGAAAUCCUAAUUAUCGGAAAUAAAGGCUUUCAAAAAUGUAUUUAUUUUGUCAUUUAAAGGAGCAGAGACUGAAAAACCUCCCCUGGUUGUCCAAGGAAAACCCUACAGAAUUGUUUUACUAAUGUUUGGUCUGUUGAUCAUCCUGGGUGUUGUGGAUAUCGGCGUUCGAGUCAAAAUCUCUAGGAAAUCUGAUUAUGAUCAAAUUUUCCUUAAAUCGCCAUAACCUUUAAGGAAAAUUUUAAUUUUGACCCAAUAGUUUCUUUCUCCAUUUUUGCUGGUUUCUUUAGAUCAUUCAGUUGUUGAGAAACCACUGCAAGCCUGUUUUGAGAAUCACACAAAGGAACAAACAGAACUGCAUGAGUUUCAAUGUCAGGACCAAAACUGCACAGAAUGGCAGGAGCUUCGUGAGUCACAUUUCUACUACGCAUCCACUGAAAAGAAAAACUGGACAGAGAGCAGGAAAGACUGCAAGAGCAGAGGAGGAGAUAUGGCGAUUCUAAAUAACAUAGAGAAACAGCAGAUGAUUAGAAGAAUGAAGAUUCAUGGAGAUUCCUGGAUCGGUCUUGAAACUGCAAACAAGUGGACUGCGAAAUGGAAAUGGGUAGAUGGAUCUGACCUACUACACAGUUCCUGGAAAGAAGGAGUAAACGUCAAAACGGAGUCAGGGCUCAAAGCAUUUACUGAUAAACAGGGACUUUGGAUGUACAAGAAAACAGGAUUAAAAUACUGGAUCUGUGAGAAGAGAAAUGUCCAGUAUCUUUUUGAUCUUAAACCUGGAAAGAACUGCAUUAAAAUUUAAGUACUAUAUACAGAGAAAAGUUACAAUUAUAAUUACUAUAUGAGAAAAACUCAGUGCAAUCAGUUCUACAGCAGCCACAAAGUAAAACCUGGAGUUAGAUUUAAGCUUUGUAAUUAAAUGUAAUUAAAAGGCUGAUUCAGGAAAAGAAAAAAAAAAUCUUGUUUCUCGAUUCUUGUUUAUUU